rnacentral:lncRNA from 1 species
CCUAAAUAUGAAAUAUGUAAACUCUCAAUAUAACAAGCUUCAAUAGGUGAGCCAUUCUUUGCGAUUGAUUUUGGUGAUAAGGAACACUAAUUUUUUUUUUCUUGGUACGUGGGAGAUACCAAAACUCAGGACCUUGCGCUUGCGAGGCCGGUGUGGUAACCACUGAGCUAAAUCCCCGACCCAGGAACACUAAUUUUGAGCCCUAAUUAAGUGAAAUGUUAUUCCCAUGGAGAGUUCCGUUUUCUCCUCAUCAGUAGAUCUGUAACAAUGCUCUCUAUGGAUGGAUGGAUGGAUGGACGGACGGACGGACGGACGGACGGAUGGAUGGAUGGUACUGGGGAUUUGCACUGAGCUACAUCCUCAGGCCUUUAUUAUUUUUUUUAAUUUUGAGACAGGAUCUCACUAAGUUGCCCAGACUGGGGUCGAAUUUGCGAUUUCCCUACCUCAGCCUCCCAGAGUGCUAGGAUUACAAGCCCAUCUUAUUAUAUUUUGAGUUUUGCCGAUACAAAAUGGGGAGGGGACCGCGGAGGUCGGUCCUGGAAAAAGGGACACCGAGGGACGAGCGUCGCGCGCGGACAGACCAGCGAUGCCCCGGCGCCUCCGCCUCUGCACUAGGGUGGGGGCUGGGCGAGGCGGGCGCGGGGCGCGCGACCCCCAACGGCCAGACGCCGGCGCAUGCGCUCUCGGGCGCAGCGCGGGCGCCAUUGGGGAGGCGGCGGCCGGGUCCCCGGGUCGGCGGACGCAGAGGCGACUCCUUAGGUCGUGAGUGA